UACGUAGGAUGCAAGCGUUGUCCGGAUUUACUGGGCGUAAAGCGCGCGCAGGCGGCACUCUAAGUACGUCGUGAAAUAUCCCGGCUCAACCGGGAGGGUGCGAUGUAGACUAGGGAGCUAGAGGUCGGUAGAGGGGGGUGGAAUUGCUGGUGUAGCGGUGAAAUGCGUAGAGAUCAGCAGGAACACCCGUGGCGAAGGCGGCCCCCUGGGCCGUACCUGACGCUGAGGCGCGAAGGCUAGGGGAGCGAACAGG
rnacentral:rRNA from 1 species